GACGAACGCUGGCGGCGUGCUUAACACAUGCAAGUCGAACGGAAAGGCCCUGCUUUUGUGGGGUGCUCGAGUGGCGAACGGGUGAGUAACACGUGUGUAACCUGCCCUUGACUUUGGGAUAACUUUAGGAGACUGGGGCUAAUACCGGAUAGGAGCUCCUGCUGCAUGGUGGGGGUUGGAGAGUUUCGGCGGGUGGGGAUGGACUCGCGGCGUAUCAGCUUGUUGGUGGGGUAGUGGCUUACCAAGGCUUGGACGGGUAGCCGGCCUGAGAGGGUGACCGGACAAAUUGGGACGGGGAUGCGGCCCAGACCCCUACGGGACGCAGCGGUGGGGAAGGGUGCACAAUGGGCGGAAGCCUGAUGCAGCAACGCCGCGUGCGGGAUGACGGCCUGGGGGUUGUAAACCGCAGUCGCCUGUGACGAAGAGUGAGUGACGGUAAUGGGUGAAGAAGCACCGGCUAACUACGUG
rnacentral:rRNA from 1 species